UAGAGUCUUGUAGAGGGGGGUAGAAUUCCAGGUGUAGCGGUGAAAUGCGUAGAGAUCUGGAGGAAUACCGGUGGCGAAGGCGGCCCCCUGGACAAAGACUGACGCUCAGGUGCGAAAGCGUGGGGAGCAAACAGGAUUAGAUACCCUGGUAGUCCACGCCGUAAACGAUGUCGACUUGGAGGUUGUGCCCUUGAGGCGUGGCUUCCGGAGCUAACGCGUUAAGUCGACCGCCUGGGGAGUACGGCCGCAAGGUUAAA
rnacentral:rRNA from 1 species